rnacentral:antisense_RNA from 2 species
GUAGUUAGCAGAGCAUUAAGAAUUUUACAGGCCGUCAAAUUUUUCUUCUUACUGUAACUACCGAUAUGCUGCUUUUUCUUAUUAACUCCUAUGUUUAUUUGUAUCCGCCCAGCGCCUUUUGCUCUGGGCUUUUUUUU